AAAAAGCCUCGUGCCUUAGUCGGGUCCUCCAACUCCAGAACCCCACUUAAUAUCAACCUCCCCAAAUUCUUUCCAAACCGAUUUAAGGAUGUUUCUCACUUUCCAAAUUCUUUCCAGAACCCCACUUGUAUGGGUAAAACUCUUUACUUUCUUUCUUUUCCCUUUCAAUUCCCCAAAUCACUUUCCAAAUUGUGAUCAUCACUCGAAUCUCAAGCUCGAUGAUCGAAUUUUAGAGUUUUGAAAUCGCAAACUCCAUGGAAGCCUCAUACUCCAUUACAUCUCCAAGUUCUGAAAUCGAAACCACAAUCACAAUCUCGCAACUGAGUCCCAAUUGCAUCAGCAGCAAGACGAAGAUGAAAUGCUUGUGCCGCACUCAGAUUUGGUCGAAGGCUCUCAUCCUCUGAAAUGUUUAAUUUUUAAAAUUUUCAAUGAUUUGAUGUUUGAAAUUCUUAAGUAUAUGCAUGCCGUGUGGUUUUGAAGCUUUUACUUGUUGCAUAAUCAUUCUGGUGUGGUUAGAGUUUAAGUGAUUGCAUUUUCUUUAGGGUUUUUAUUUUCUUAUUGGGAAAAACUUGUGGUAUUUGGUGUUUUGGUUGUAGCUGAACUGGAGCGGGCUUGUACAAAGAAAUUGGAGUUGUCCUAUAGUUGCAGCAACGUUGCAGAUAACUUUUGCAAGUAAAGUAUGCUCAUAUGAGUAUUCUCAUUUUUGCCUCUUGUUUUAUUCAGUGGAUGCCAUGUGAUGAAGGAUAACAAUUAACAAGUGUCUAAUGAACAAAAGGAUCAAGUGACAGUUGAGUGAAUUUUACGGGGUUCAGUUUUUGGAUGCAGAGCACCCGGAUCAAUGAGUGGAUAGAAAUACUUGGCUCGGAAACAGGUUGAAGUGGUAGAUUCAGUAUGCAUGCGAGCGAAGCAGUCAGCCUUUUCUAAAGUGAGUGAGGGAUGAAAGUGGAGUACCAGCAGUGGUUAAAUCUUGUGAACUCGAUUCCAUCUCCUAAAGGUAAGGUCACAUAUUUGAAUCCUGGCUUUUCCUUGAAAACUUGAUCGAUAAAUGGGCCUCCAUUAAUAGUCUCACCAAUAUUGUUUUCUACCACUGUGUUCCCAUUUGGGUUGAGGUUCAUAACCUUCAAAAGUUUCAAGUGAUCUUCAACCUUGCAGUCAACAACUGCAAAAUCAACAUUCUUGAAAUGCUUCACCAUUCUACAAGGAUCAAUGUCAUAAACAUAUUCAACGACGUCACUUGGGGGCCAUUUUCCACAAUUUGGGUUUUGCCAGUCUUCCCCAUAUGAUCAUCGUCGUCGCUGUUACUGCACACGAUCAGUCGCCUCCACUUUGCUUUGCAGUUGAAUCUGAAAUGCAUGCAUUAGGUGAAGUCGUAGCAGACUCUGGGGGAUUUGAUCAUGUGACUAACUGGUGGGAAAAGGAAACAAAUCCAAAGGAAUGAAGAAUUUGCUUGUUUCUCAGACAUAUUGAACGUGGGAGGUAGGAGAUACUUGACACCAGGUGUAGCCAAACAUGCCCUCUGCAGGAAAUGUGGAGACCAAUCACACUCAACUCAACUGUAACUUGCAUGCACGGCAACCUACAUCGGUAUCGGUCGGUUAAGCUAUCCCGUUAUGGUUCUUACUAAAUUGGUCAAUAUUUGCCGUCAAAUAUUCUUUUGGGUAAACUGUCAUUUCCCCCUUAAACUAUCACCCUAUUGUCAAUUUACCCCCUAAAUUAUUUUUUCAGCCAAUUUACUCCCUGAACUAUAAAAAUUGGCCAAUGUACUCCUUACUGUUAAAUUUGUUAAAUACCAUCCAUUUAGAUGUUAAAAAUAAGGGUGAUUUUGUCAUUUCCAACGCAAAAUAGUAAUUAAUAAAAAAAAUAAAGAAAUUAAUAAAAAACCAAAAAAAAAAAAAAGAAAAAAACCC